GGUUGAUCCUGCCAGUAGCAUAUGCUUGUCUCAAAGAUUAAGCCAUGCAUGUCUAAGUACAAGCCGCUAGACGGCGAAACCGCGAAUGGCUCAAUAAAUCAGUUAUGGUUCCUUAGAACAGUCAAUCCUACUUGGAUAACUGUGGUAAUUCUAGAGCUAAUACAUGCACCCAAGCCCCGACUCGGGGGGCAACUCUCGAGAAAGGGCGCUUUUAUUAGAUCAAAACCAGUCGAGAGCUUCGGCUCUCGUUAAGUUUGGUGACUCUGGAUAACUUCACGCUGAUCGCACGGUCUUCGCACCGGCGACGAUUCUUUCAAAUGUCUGCCUUAUCAACUGUCGAUGGUAGGUUAUGCGCCUACCAUGGUUGCAACGGGUAACGGGGAAUCGGGGUUCGAUUCCGGAGAGGGAGCCUGAGAAACGGCUACCACAUCCAAGGAAGGCAGCAGGCGCGCAAAUUACCCACUCCCGGCACGGGGAGGUAGUGACGAAAAAUAACGAUACGGGACUCUUCCGAGGCCCCGUGAUUGGAAUGAGUACACUUUAAAUCCUUUAACGAGGACCCAUUGGAGGGCAAGUCUGGUGCCAGCAGCCGCGGUAACUCCAGCUCCAAUAGCGUAUAUUAAAGUUGUUGCGGUUAAAAAGCUCGUAGUCGGAGUUCUGUCUUCGGCCGAGGGGGGAUUCUGCCUACACGGUAUGAGUCUCGUUCCCUUUGGGUGUGCGGUGUCAAAGCCGUGCACUCUUAACGGUCGGACAAGUCCGUCGGAGUGUGGUUAUUGUUGGAAGGGCAACCGACCAUGAGGCCACCGUAGUCGUUCGGGGUGCCUUUAAUCGGGUGUCUCGGGCGGCCGACAUAGUUUACUUUGAACAAAUUAGAGUGCUCAAAGCAGGUGACUACCGCCUGAAUAGUACAGCAUGGAAUGAUGAAAGAGGACCUCGGUCUGAUUUUGCUGGUCUUUAACGGUCGGGCUUCGGCCCGGCCUAUGCAGACCCGAGGUAAUGGUCAAUAGAGACGGACGGGGGCAUCCGUACUGCGGCGACAGAGGUGAAAUUCUUGGACCGCCGCAAGACGAACGACAGCGAAGGCAUUUGCCAAGAAUGUUUUCCUUGAUCAAGAACGAAAGUUAGAGGUUCGAAGGCGAUCAGAUACCGCCCUAGUUCUAACCAUAAACGACGCCAACUAGCGAUCCGCCGGUGUUACUCCCAUGACUCGGCGGGCAGCUUCCGGGAAACCAAAGUCUUUGGGUUCCGGGGGAAGUAUGGUUGCAGAGCUGAAACUUAAAGGAAUUGACGGAAGGGCACCACCAGGAGUGGAGCCUGCGGCUUAAUUUGACCCAACACGGGAAACCUCACCAGGCCCGGACACUGGAAGGAUUGACAGAUUGAGAGCUCUUUCUUGAUUCGGUGGGUGGUGGUGCAUGGCCGUUCUUAGUUGGUGGAGCGAUUUGUCUGGUUAAUUCCGAUAACGAACGAGACUCUAGCCUGCUAAAUAGGUGCCGGG
rnacentral:rRNA from 1 species